rnacentral:rRNA from 1 species
UACGUAGGGAGCAAGCGUUGUUCGGAUUUACUGGGCGUAAAGGGCGCGUAGGCGGCAUAUUAAGUCAUCUGUGAAAUCUCCGAGCUUAACCCGGAACUGUCAGCUGAUACUGAUGUGCUAGAGUGCGGAAGGGGCAAUCGGAAUUCUUGGUGUAGCGGUGAAAUGCGUAGAUAUCAAGAGGAACACCUGCGGCGAAGGCGGGUUGCUGGGCCGACACUGACGCUGAGGCGCGAAAGCCAGGGGAGCGAACGGG